GGUAACGGAGAAUAAGGGUUCGACUCCGGAGAGGGAGCCUGAGAAACGGCUACCACAUCCAAGGAAGUCAGCAGGCGCGUAAAUUACCCACUCUCGGCACGAGGAGGUAGUGACGAAAAAUAACGAGACGGUUCUCAUUGAGGCCCGUUAUCGGAAUGAGUACAAUCCAAACCCUUUAACGAGGAUCUAUCAGAGGGCAAGUCUGGUGCCAGCAGCCGCGGUAAUUCCAGCUCUGAAGGUGUAUACCACCGUUGUUGCGGUUAAAACGCUCGUAGUUGGAUCUACGUUCGUGGGGUCGGUGUUCUCGUUUGAGUUCUACUGACUACCUGAACUGAAACAGCUGGUUUUCCCUUGGUGCUCUUUAUUGGGUGCCCUGGGUGGCUAGCAAGUUUACUUUGAAAAAAUUAGAGUGCUCAAAACAGGCGCAUGCCUGAAUAGUGGUGCAUGGAAUAAUGGAAUAGGAUCUUGGUCCUAUUUUGUUGGUUUUCGGGAGCCAAGAUAAUGAUUAAGAGUACAGACGGGGGCAUUCGUAUUGCAGCGUUAGAGGUGAAAUUCUUGGAUCGUUGCAAGACGAACAACUGCGAAAGCAUUUGCCAAGAAUGUUUUCAUUAAUCAAGAACGAAAGUUAGAGGUUCGAAGGCGAUCAGAUACCGCCCUAGUUCUAACCGUAAACGAUGCCAACUCGCGAUCUAGUGGUGUUAUUUAUGACCCGCUAGGGAGCGUCCCGGAAACGAAAGUUUUUCGGUUCCGGGGGAAGUAUGGUUGCAAAUCUGAAACUUAAAGGAAUUGACGGAAGGGCACCACCAGGAGUGGAGCCUGCGGCUUAAUUUGACCCAACACGGGAAAACUCACCCGGCCCGGACACCGUAAGGAUUGACAGAUUGAGAGCUCUUUCUUGAUUCGGUGGGUGGUGGUGCAUGGCCGUUCUUAGUUGGUGGAGCGAUUUGUCUGGUUAAUUCCGAUAACGAACGAGACUCUAUCCUACUAAAUAGCAGGCGGAUCAGCCCAGUCCGCAGUGCUUCUUAGAGGGACAAGCAGCUUUUAGCUGCACGAAAGUGAGCAAUAACAGGUCUGUGAUGCCCUUAGAUGUCCGGGGCUGCACGCGCGCUACACUGAAAGGAUCAGCGUGCAAGAUACCUUCCCCGAGAGGGGUGGGUAACCCAAUCAAAACCUUUCGUGAUUGGGAUAGGAGAUUGCAAUUAUUCUCCUUGAACGAGGAAUUCCCAGUAAGUGUGGGUCAUCAGCUCGCGCUGAUUACGUCCCUGCCCUUUGUACACACCGCCCGUCGCUGCCCGGAACUGAGCCGUUUCGAGAAGAACAGGGACUGCUGUUUGGUGGCCUUCGGGUUGCCUCUUGGCGGAAACUGUUUUAAUCGGUAUGGCUUGAACCGGGCAAAAGUCGUAACAAGGUU
rnacentral:rRNA from 1 species